UACGAAGGUCCCAAGCGUUGUUCGGAAUCACUGGGCGUAAAGGGCGCGUAGGCGGCGUGGUAAGUCAGAUGUGAAAUCCCGGGGCUCAACCCCGGAACUGCACUCGAUACUGCUUUACUAGAGGACUGGAGAGGAGAUUGGAAUUCUCGGUGUAGCAGUGAAAUGCGUAGAUAUCGAGAGGAACACCUGUGGCGAAAGCGAAUCUCUGGACAGUUCCUGACGCUGAGGCUCGAAGGCUAGGGUAGCGAAAGGG
rnacentral:rRNA from 1 species